rnacentral:rRNA from 1 species
CCUACGGGAGGCAGCAGUGGGGAAUAUUGCACAAUGGGCGCAAGCCUGAUGCAGCCAUGCCGCGUGUGUGAAGAAGGCCUUCGGGCUGUAAAGCACUUUCAGCGGGGAGAUAGGCGGUGAGGUUAAUAACCUCACCGAUUGACGUUACCCGCGGAAGAAGCACCGGCUAACUCCGUGCCAGCAGCCGCGGUAAUACGGAGGGUGCAAGCGUUAAUCGGAAUUACUGGGCGUAAAGCGCACGCAGGCGGUCUGUCAAGUCGGAUGUGAAAUCCCCGGGCUCAACCUGGGAACUGCAUUCGAAACUGGCAGGCUAGAGUCUUGUAGAGGGGGGUAGAAUUCCAGGUGUAGCGGUGAAAUGCGUAGAGAUCUGGAGGAAUACCGGUGGCGAAGGCGGCCCCCUGGACAAAGACUGACGCUCAGGUGCGAAAGCGUGGGGAGCAAACAGGAUUAGAUACCCGCGUAGUC